AAUCUUGUUGCCAUGGAGGUGUUGGCUGUAGAUCACAGAUGUGCUCUCACCACUGCCUCAAGCCACUAUGCCAAGAAUAGCCGGCAGCUGAUAGCAGAAAGCCUCGUCAGUGGAGAUGUGGAGAGAGCACUGAAACAGUCUAUGAUUCUGGCUCAUCCUGUAACCUCACAGCAACUGCUGGCUGAGUUAGGUGAAAACAGAAGACCAUCUCAUAACCUCAUGUCACAGGAAGGUACCAGG